rnacentral:rRNA from 1 species
GACGAACGCUGGCGGCGUGCUUAACACAUGCAAGUCGAACGAAGUGGCGAACGGGUGAGUAACGCGUAAUAAACCUGCCCUUCAGAGGGGGACAACAGUUGGAAACGACUGCUAAUACCGCAUAGUGAAGGAGGAGAAUGCGUUUGAUUGGCUCGUUGGAGGGGUAACGGCCCACCAAGGCGAAGGUCAGUGGCCGGUCUGAGGGGGUUAACGGCCACAUCGGGACUGGAGAACGGCCCAGACUGCUAAGGGGGGCAGCAGUGGGGAAUCUUCCGCAAUGGACGAAAGUCUGACGGCGCAACGCCGCGUUGGUGAAGACGGCCUUCGGGUUGUAAAGCUCUGUUAAUCGGGACGCGGUACCGGAAUAGAAAGCCACGGCUAACUACGUGCCAGCAGCCGCGGUAAUUC